UUAACNGGGAGGGUGCGCCGAAAACUGGCGGGCUUGAGUAUGGGAGAGGAAAGCGGAAUUCCCGGUGUAGCGGUGAAAUGCGUAGAUAUCGGNAGGAACACCUGUGGUGUAGNCGGCUUUCUGGACCAUUACUGACGCUGAGACACGAAAGCGUGGGUAGCAAACAGGAUUAGAUACCCUGGUAGUCCACGCCCUAAACGAUGCAUACUUGGUGUGAGCCAUUCAUCUNGUCAGUGCCGCAGCUAACGCGUUAAGUAC
rnacentral:rRNA from 1 species